GGCUACGUAGCUCAGUUGGUUAGAGCACAUCACUCAUAAUGAUGUGGUCACAGGUUCGAAUCCCGUCGUAGCCACCA
rnacentral:tRNA from 1 species